rnacentral:rRNA from 1 species
CAAACAGGAUUAGAUACCCUGGUAGUCCACGCCGUAAACGAUGAGUACUAAGUGUCGGGGGAAUCUCGGUGCUGAAGCAAAUGUAAUAAGUACUCCGCCUGAGUAGUACGUGCGCAAGCAUGAAACUCAAAGGAAUUGACGGGACCCUGCACAAGCGGUGGAUCAUGUUGUUUAAUUCGAGGAUACGCGAAGAACCUUACCAGGCCUUGACAUCCUCUGCAAAGCUAUAGAGAUAUAGUGGAGGUUAACAGAGAGACAGGUGGUGCACGGUUGUCGUCAGCUCGUGUCGUGAGAUGUUGGGUUAAGUCCCGUAACGAGCGCAACCCUUGUUGCUAGUUGCCAUCAUUAAGUUGGGGACUCUAGCGAGACUGCCAGUGAUAAACUGGAGGAAGGCGGGGAUGACGUCAAAUCAUCAUGCCCCUUAUGGCCUGGGCUACAAACGUGAUACAAUGGCUGAAACAAAGAGAAGCGAAGGGGUGACCUGGAGCGGAACUCAUAAAAGCAGUCUCAGUUCGGAUUGGAGUCUGCAACUCGACUCCAUGAAGUCGGAAUCGCUAGUAAUCGUAGGUCAGCAUACUACGGUGAAUACGUUCUCGGGGUUUGUACACACCGCCCGUCAAACCAGGAAAGUUGGUAAUACCCAACGCCGGUGGCCUAACCUGUAAAGGAGGGAGCCGUCUAAGGUAGGAUCAAUGAUCGGGGUUAAGUCGUAACAAGGUAUCCCUACGCGAACGUGGGGAUG